rnacentral:rRNA from 1 species
AAUCAACGCUGGCGGCGUGCCUAACACAUGCAAGUCGCACGAGAAAGGGACUUCGGUCCUGAGUACAGUGGCGCACGGGUGAGUAACACGUGAAUGAUCUACCUUCGAGUGGGAAUAACUGAGAGAAAUACUUAGCUAAUACCGCAUAAUACCUACGGGUACAAAGACAGCAAUGCGCUUGAAGAGGAGUUCGCGGCAGAUUAGUUAGUUGGCA